rnacentral:tRNA from 1 species
AAGAGAGAAGCAUUGAAGUAGGUAGUGCGACUAGCUUGAAACUAGGAGGAGGGGGUUCGAGUCCCUCAUUUCUUG